CCCUUCCUUUCCUCCAGAGCCUGAGGCAGCCGCGGGGGAGGCGGCCGCUCCUACCUCCCCUCACCUACUCUGUCCCCACCCCCACUCCGCUCCCACCUCCCGCCCGCCACGGGCCGGUUACCUGCUCGUCGAAGCGGCUGACCACGGCCUGGACCCAUUCCACCGGCCUGUGCGCGGCCAUGUCCUCCCCGCGGCCGGGGGGCGGCGGAGGGAAGGGUGGGCCGGCGCCCUGGGCCGGGAAGAGGGCGGGGAGCGGAGGCUGAGGUGAGGGAAGAGGCAAGGAGAGGGUCUGUGGAGUGCAGGCUCCCAGUGUUCCCACGGGGGUGGGGAUGGGGGGUCAGCGCCGAGCGGGAGGGGGAGAGGGAAAGGGGGCGUUGGCAAGGAGGCUGGGGGGAGGGGGAUAGGGGAAGGGGACCCGGGGAGGGGAGGGGGCCUCUUGGUCGCUCUCCCCACUAGCGCCGUCUCCCCACAGCCAUCACAGUCCGAGACGCCGCCAUGACACCCCACCGGAAGUGGGAUCCUUUCCACGGCCCGGGGAGAGGGAGCGCGAGCGAGCUAGAGAUUGAGAGCGCGGCUGGGAAAGGGGAGGGGGAAGCGAGAGGGAAGGCGGCCUGCCGCGCAUGCGCCCGCGCCGGCCGGUUUCAUUAAUGAAAAAGCGAGUCCUCCUGGAGGUGACGUCAUCUAACUCCUCUGGGCCGUCUGGCGAGCGUCCCUCACCGCCGUGGGGCUCACCUAGACUGGCGCUGGGCUCAGCUGGCGAGUGCCAGAGCUGACCCGGGAGCAUCCACUCCCAUCCCCACCGCCCCCUACAGCUGUCCCCUCCCCCGCCGGCCUCCGGGUUUGGAUUGCUCCCGGAGUUGGAAGUUAGGGCGCCCUGGGGCUAGCCUUUCUCCCAGCGCGCGGAUCUCUGCCGCUAAUCUCCUGGGGAGGCUGUGCUCUCAGCUUAAGCUCUCAGAAAAAAUAAGAGACAAGGUCUGACUCUGUGCAGUGGAGUGCAGUGGCUCAAUCAUAGCUCACUCCAGCCUCAGACUCCUGGGCCGAAGUGAUCCUCCCACCUCAAGCUCCUGAAUAGCUGGGACUACAGGUGAGUGUCACCCUGCUUUGGCUAAUUUUUUUUUUUUUUUUUUUUUUGGUAGAGACACAGUCUUGCUAUGUUGCCCAGGCUGGUCUGGAACUCCUGGCCUCAAGUGAUCCCCCUGCCUUGGCCUCCCAAAGUGCUGGGAUGACAGGGGUGAGCUACCACACAGGCCCCUAGGCCAAUGUUAAAAUGAAUUUACACAUUCCAAGCACGCGCUAAUCAGCCAGUUAAGCCACACAGACACUGGGUGAUAAGGGAGAACAAAACUAGAAUUUUAAUUUUCCUACAGAAAAGCCACAAAGCCAGUAGCCCACAUACAGAGAGAUAUAUCCUUGAGAAAAGUUUCCAAUCUCUAGGUUGGUGGUUGUCCAAAAUACAUAUUAAAUUAAUGUUUUAUUCCACUAGAACAGACAGACAGUUUGGACAUGUCUUUUGUCCCUUCUUCUUUAAGGAUGCAAUGCAGAUACUAAUUUCUUUUAGAUGAUGUCAGAAUGAUGACUAUGCUGGAAAGAAAUGGAUGAAUAUUAAAUGAAUGUCUAUCUAUGUUUCUCCCAAGUAGGACCCCUGAAAAAGCACUCACUCAUACCCCCAAGAUAGUAUUCCAGUGCCCCCUACUGCACUGCUAAACUUCAGACCUAUGACCUUCCUCUCCUUUUCUCAUACUUCCUCUGAAAGUCCCUAACUACUUCCUUGUUGCCAUGGCUUUUUGCCUGUCUAUCUCCCUGAUCUUCUUCCCUACACUGGAUGCAACUGCCCAAACCCUCAGCUCCCUUGCCUUCCCUGGCAUUCCGUUGCUGAAGUUCCUCUGUGCCUUUCUCUCCUCUUCUUCUCUAGUUUAGUCUACCAUUGCCCACUCUUCUUUAGCUCUGUGGUAAGACACCCAAACUUCAGGCCCUGGCCCUCUGCUCUUCUUCCUUUACUCAAGCUCCUGCCAGCAUGUCAUUAAUUCAUCCUAAUUUGUACUCCCUGUUCUGUUGCCUCCCCUCAGUGCCAAACCUCUCAUUAUAGUCAGAGGCCUAGACUUCACCCCAACUUCCUCUCCAAUUAAAUUCAUUCAGUUCUGCUGAACCAGUAUUAAGUGUCCAAAUGGGCCGGUCGUGGUGGCUCACACCUAUAAUGCCAGCACUUUUAGAGGCCGAGGUGGGAGGAUUGCUUGAGCCUAGAAGUUCAGACCAGCCUGGGCAACAUAGUGAGAUCCCAGCUUCUACCAAAAAAAAUUAUUUAAAUUAGUUAGGCAUAGUGGUGUGCAUCUGUGGUCCCAGCAACUUGGGAGGCUGAGGUGGGAGGAUCACUUGAGCUAGAGAGGUCAAGGCUGCAGUGAGCUGUGAUCUCGCCACUGCACUCCAGCCUAGGCAACAGAGCAAGACCCUGUCUCUAAAAAAUAAAUAAAAAUAAAAGUACCCAAAUGCCUGUUAUGUAUUAUGUACUUUGUUAGACCAUACAUAGUACAUAUGGCAGGAAUGCUAAACAAAAGUGCCAAAGAAGACUGGACGCUGUGGCUCAUGCCUGUAAUCCCAGCACUUUGGGAGGCCGAGGCAGGCAGAUCACCUGAGGUCAGGAGUUUGAGACCAGCCUGGCCAAUGUGGUGAAACUCCAUCUCUACUAAAAAAAAAAAAAAAAAAAAAAAAAAGCCGGGCAUGGUGGCACAUGGCUGUAAUCCCAACUACUUACUAGGGUGACUGAGGCAGGAGAAUUGCUUGAACCCAGGAGGCUGAGGUUUCAGUGAGCCUAGAUUGUGCUGCUGCAAUCCAGCCUGGGCGACAGAGUGACUCCAUCUCAAAAAAAAAAUGCCAAAGAAGGUAAUGCAUAGAGACUGUGGUGAAUUAAGAAGCAUAUACCCACCUCCAUUUAUCCAGAUAAGAGAUACUCUCUCCAUUUAAAGAGUAUCUGUCACUCAACUCCAG
rnacentral:lncRNA from 1 species